UAAAAUGGAACAGCAUUGUUCAGGGUUGUC
rnacentral:piRNA from 1 species